rnacentral:rRNA from 1 species
UACGUAGGCAGCGAGCGUUGUUCGGAAUUACUGGGCGUAAAGAGUGUGUAGGCGGUGCUCUAAGUUCGGUGUGAAAUCUCCUGGCUCAACUGGGAGGGUUCGCCGGAAACUGGAGUGCUUGAGCGUGGGAGAGGAAAGCGGAAUUCCUGGUGUAGCGGUGAAAUGCGUAGAUAUCAGGAGGAACACCUGUGGUGUAGACGGCUUUCUGGACCAUAGCUGACGCUGAGACACGAAAGCGUGGGUAGCAAACAGG